UAUGGAGGAUGCAAGCGUUAUCCGGAAUGAUUGGGCGUAAAGCGUCCGCAGGUGGCUAUGUAAGUCUGCUGUUAAAGAGCAAGGCUCAACCUUGUAAAGGCAGUGGAAACUACAUGGCUAGAGUGCGUUCGGGGCAGAGGGAAUUCCUGGUGUAGCGGUGAAAUGCGUAGAGAUCAGGAAGAACACCGGUGGCGAAAGCGCUCUGCUAGGCCGCAACUGACACUGGGGGACGAAAGCUAGGGGAGCGAAUGGG
rnacentral:rRNA from 1 species